AGCUUUGCACAGUGGCAGUAUCGUAGCCAAUGAGGUUUAUCCGAGGCACAAUUAUUGCUAAUUAAAAAAAAAAGUAGAAAUUUAUUUUAUCAUCCUGGUAUGCCCCUUAAAUACCAUCAGUAACUUACUGCUAGGUUUGGGGUCAUAUUCUAAAUUCUUAACCAGGCAUUCAAGUC
rnacentral:snRNA from 1 species